CGCCGGCUAAUACCGGGUAAGCUCACGCGGGUUAGAGGCCGGGUGAGAAAACGGCAGCGCAAGCUGACCGCCUCAGGAGGGGCCUGCGGCCCAUCAGCUAGUUGGCAGGGUAACGGCCUACCAAGGCGAAGACGGGUAGGGGGCCUGAGAGGGUGACCCCCCACACGGGCACUGAGACACGGUCCAGACUCCUACGGGAGGCAGCAGUGGGGAAUUUUGCACAAUGGGGGAAACCCUGAUGCAGCAACGCCGCGUGGAGGAUGACGCAUUUCGGUGUGUAAACUCCUUUUCUACAAGAAGAAAUUGACGGUAUUGUAGGAAUAAGCACCGGCUAACUCCGUGCCAGCAGCCGCGGUAAUACGGGGGGUGCAAGCGUUACUCGGAAUCACUGGGCGUAAAGGGAGCGUAGGCGUCCGGGUCAGUCUCCUGUGAAAUCCCACGGCUCAACCGUGGAACUGCAGGAGAAACUGCCCGGAUAGAGUAUGGAAGAGGUAAGUGGAAUAGGUGGUGUAGGGGUAAAAUCCGUAGAGAUCACCUGGAAUACCAACGGCGAAGGCAACUUACUGGGACAUUACUGACGCUGAGGCUCGAAAGCGUGGGGAGCAAACAGGAUUAGAUACCUUGGUAGUCCACGCCCUAAACGAUGAAUGCUAGUCGCGGGGAGGCUUCGACCUUUCCGGGACGCAGUUAACACAUUAAGCAUUCCGCCU
rnacentral:rRNA from 1 species